CUCAAGCCUCUCUGGUCUGCUGUCCCCAGCGCUAACAGAAAGCCUGCUAAUUGCCUUGCCUCCCUGUCACCUCACCGGAGGUAAUGCCACAUUGAUGGUCCGGAGAGCCAAUGACAGCAAAGUGGUUAAGUCGGGCUUUGUGGUGCCUCCGUGCCGUGGGCGCAGGGAGCUUGUGAGCGUGGUGGACAGCGGGGCAGGCUUCACCGUCACAAGGCUCAGCGCAUAUCAGGUGACAAACCUCACACCAGGAACCAAAUACUAGAAGAAACAUGGAGUCUAUCAGGUUAGGAAUGGCCCGGACAGGAGGCAUGGUGGUCAUCACGGUGCUGCUGUCUGUGGCCAUGUUCCUGUUGGUCGUGGGACUUAUCAUUGCCCUGGCACUGGGUGCCCACAAAUGAAGGCUCUCCUGCAGCCCAGGCUCUUCCAAACAGGCAGCAGUUACCGGCUUCUCCUCCCUCUCCCUGCCCUCUUCACUGAGUCCAUUCCUGACAGUACCCCUCUCUCUGCUUCCAACACUCCCUGCCAGCCCCCCACCCCCCGAAGUCCCACCAAAGCUGAUUUUUCUCUUAACUGUACUUAAUUCUCACAAUAAAGGCUGACCCACG
rnacentral:lncRNA from 1 species